CAGUCCCGCGGUAAUACGUAGGGUGCGAGCGUUAAUCGGAAUUACUGGGCGUAAAGCGUGCGCAGGCGGUUCGUUAAGACAGAUGUGAAAUCCCCGGGCUUAACCUGGGAACUGCAUUUGUGACUGGCGAGCUAGAGUAUGGCAGAGGGGGGUAGAAUUCCACGUGUAGCAGUGAAAUGCGUAGAGAUGUGGAGGAAUACCGAUGGCGAAGGCAGCCCCCUGGGCCAAUACUGACGCUCAUGCACGAAAGCGUGGGGAGCAAACAGGAUUAGAGACCCGAGUAGUCCCUGUCUCUUAUACA
rnacentral:rRNA from 1 species